rnacentral:rRNA from 1 species
GACGAACGCUGGCGGCGUGCUUAACACAUGCAAGUCGAGCGCUGAAGCACCAGCUUGCUGGUGUGGAUGAGUGGCGAACGGGUGAGUAAUACGUGAGUAACCUGCCCUUGACUCUGGGAUAAGCCCGGGAAACUGGGUCUAAUACUGGAUGCUACAUGUCACCGCAUGGUGGUGUGUGGAAAGGGUUUACUGGUCUUGGAUGGGCUCACGGCCUAUCAGCUUGUUGGUGAGGUAAUGGCUCACCAAGGCGACGACGGGUAGCCGGCCUGAGAGGGUGACCGGCCACACUGGGACUGAGACACGGCCCAGACUCCUACGGGAGGCAGCAGUGGGGAAUAUUGCACAAUGGGCGAAAGCCUGAUGCAGCGACGCCGCGUGAGGGAUGACGGCCUUCGGGUUGUAAACCUCUUUCAGCAGGGAAGAAGCCACAAGUGACAGUACCUGCAGAAGAAGCGCCGGCUAACUACGUG